UAUAGUUUAGUAUAUUAUGUACUUGGGUUUUUGAAGCUCAAAGAAAUAGUUUGAUUCUAUUAACUGUAA
rnacentral:tRNA from 1 species